rfam:Vogesella sp. LIG4 genome assembly, chromosome: I
CAGGCUCGCUGCACUUGUCGGGUGGCAACACCCUAAACCGAAUAUUUGGAGUAAUUCCACAUGGCAAUGACCGCAGAACAGAAAGCCCUGAUCGUUAAAGACUUCCAGCGUAAGGAA